AUUGAACGCUGGCGGCAGGCCUAACACAUGCAAGUCGAGCGGUAGAGAGAAGCUUGCUUCUCUUGAGAGCGGCGGACGGGUGAGUAAUGCCUAGGAAUCUGCCUGGUAGUGGGGGAUAACGUUCGGAAACGGACGCUAAUACCGCAUACGUCCUACGGGAGAAAGCAGGGGACCUUCGGGCCUUGCGCUAUCAGAUGAGCCUAGGUCGGAUUAGCUAGUUGGUGAGGUAAUGGCUCACCAAGGCGACGAUCCGUAACUGGUCUGAGAGGAUGAUCAGUCACACUGGAACUGAGACACGAUCCAGACUCCUACGGGAGGCAGCAGUGGGGAAUAUUGGACAAUGGGCGAAAGCCUGAUCCAGCCAUGCCGCGUGUGUGAAGAAGGUCUUCGGAUUGUAAAGCACUUUAAGUUGGGAGGAAGGGUUGUAGAUUAAUACUCUGCAAUUUUGACGUUACCGACAGAAUAAGCACCGGCUAACUCUGUGCCAGCAGCCGCGGUAAUACAGAGGGUGCAAGCGUUAAUCGGAAUUACUGGGCGUAAAGCGCGCGUAGGUGGUUUGUUAAGUUGGAUGUGAAAUCCCCGGGCUCAACCUGGGAACUGCAUUCAAAACUGACUGACUAGAGUAUGGUAGAGGGUGGUGGAAUUUCCUGUGUAGCGGUGAAAUGCGUAGAUAUAGGAAGGAACACCAGUGGCGAAGGCGACCACCUGGACUAAUACUGACACUGAGGUGCGAAAGCGUGGGGAGCAAACAGG
rnacentral:rRNA from 1 species